CACUUCUGGAGAACAGGAGUGGGGCUCCAGGCCCUGACAAACAGUCCUGGGCAGAGUCUGAGUAACCCAGUGCCUCUGAAUCACAAAAGGCAAGUCUCAAUUUGGAACCAGAAACUCAAUGAUGCAAACAUUUCUAAGCCCUGGAAGGGAGGGCACCUUGAACAGAGCCGGAAUCUGAUUCGAAGGUUGGCUGGUCUCUGCUGCCCGCUUUUCCAACCCGUUGUGGCAUGUCCUCCUGGGCCCACCAUCUGCUUCAGAAGCUGCCUGAGUGACUGACAGGUCUGCAGGACUGCAAGGUGGAGCUGAGAUGUGACACAGAGUGCCCCCUGAGCAGGGUGACAAUCUCAGACAUAGGAGAGCACAUCCUGCCCACAGGGUGAUGGGAACAGGACUGGGGCGGAGAGGCCAGCUCUGGCAACGAUGAAGAUGCUGUUUACAGUCACACCCCUGCACAUCUGAACCAUGUGUGAAAAAGUCAAGGCCCCAGCAGAUGUCCUCCAGCCCCGCCACUCACAACCCCCUCCCCAGGGAGGGGCUCUGUAGGCUGAGGCUCUCACCACACUGGAAAGUCCUGAAAAGCUGAGUUUUCUAGAAUCCAGUGGGAAGAGAAAGAUGGCUGGCCAAGUCUCUCCUCUUGUUCUAGUCAAGGUCGCUCUUGCUAUAUACCAUCUCCUCCCUACCCCCAUACCCUACAGACUCAAUUCUCCAGGUCUCUAUGCCUUCUACUUUUCUAAUCUUUUCCUGACACUCAGAGUUCUGAAGAUUAAAAGAACCUUUUUCUCACCCCGAGGUUGGUGAUCCCUGGGAGAUGGCAAGCAUUGGUGUUAGGGGUGAUUAGAGAGAUGGAUUGAAUAUUGCAAAGUGAAAUUUUAGAAGAUGGAAUCAGGACAUAAAAAAAUUGAGAGCUAAUAACUAUUCUGAAAAUAUUUGUUAUCUGCGUUGAGACAACUGUAUAAAUAAAGGAAUA